GCAAAUGAAACAAGAGGAUUUCCUUCUUUUUGUUCCAAAUCUUGGAAUCUGGGGACUGUAUUGUCAUAAGAAAGGGCCAUGACACUUUUGUUCCAAGACAUUAAAUAGUCACAUUAACUGGGCAAGCUCACCCCUACAUCCAUGUGCAUCUGGUAGAAACUGGGUCUUUGACAUCCCCUGCUUCCCUUGGGACCUUUCUUAGGCCAAAUCUCCAAGCCAAUGCCAUCUCUGGUAUGUCCCUCCCUAAUAACCUACAAGCUAUGUUGAGCCUUGAUAAUGAUCUCUGCUUUCCUCCUGUGACAACUGUCAACAUUUUUUCUUCUCUGCUUCCUCUCAAGAGAAGCCACUUACUUUUAAAGAAACAGUUUCCUGCUAUGUCCCAAGCUAUCUCUGAACUUGCUAUGUCCUAGGGUUGCAGGAGUGUCCACCUUGCCCUGCUUUGGCCCUUUAACUUCAGAGCAUGCUCCAAGGUUCCAUGGUACCUUACUGUUUCUUUAUCUUCUUUUCCUUCAGUGCCUUAAUUGAGAGCAAAUCUCUCCUUGUCUCUCUGGGGGCCUGAAACACGGUUGUUAUAAGGAAUAAUUCUCAACUGGGGAGAUGAAAACAAGCAUCCAUUCAAGGCAGGUCUUGGCUAUAUACCUCGUAAUUGUGUCACUUCAGGUGGAUGGUUUGACAUCCCUGAGCUUAACUCUUGUGUUAGAAUCAUAUAGAUGUUGCCAUUAGAGGGAGACACGGUCAAUGCAUGUCACAGUGACUGGUACACAGCGGCGGCUGUGAUUCUAACAUGCCAUCUUCAUUUCUUUGCACGCACACAACUCGUACUAUUAAAGUUAAUCUUGCUCCCUAUCUGCCACUCUACAAAUGUGAUUUAUGAGCCGGCACCUGGCUCACCACAUUCAAUAAGUCCAAUCUCACUGAAUAUGCUUCCAGCAGUGUUUAUGAUAUGUCUGCUCUUUCUGAUGUCUAGAUACAGUGACCGAAGCAGAGAUUAGGAAGGUGAACCAAGAUUCCUGGAGGACACCUCUGGCACCCUUUGCCCUCACCUCUGGCACUGGUCUCUGAUUAUUUGUUUAUCUCAUAGCACCUGAUCCAUCAAAAUGAUGUCCUUGGCAGUAGCAGGAUAUACCUGGGUUGGGAAAGGAGGGCCAUGAACUUGCUAUUCGGGAGAUUGUCCUGCUGGCUAAGGGCGGGGGUAGUGGGUAACAGGUAGGCUUAGGAGAACUGGACAUGCUUGGUUGGACUGUACUCUCCAUUUCUAUGGAACCACUUGACCUCAGUCCAGGGUGGGGCAGGCCUUGCAGGAUAGGAAGUGAGUUGAGGAAGAGCGGCUUAUGCUGAGGCUCUCCCAGAAGGUGUCUUUCCAUGGUAAACCUGCAUGUUAAGAAAUACUCUUCCUCUAGAUGCAAGAAUAUGACUAAGCUAUGAUGGAUGCAGAGCAACAGGCAAUGAUACGUCCAUGGUCCUCUAGGUGCCCGAAGUCCAGGCAGAUGAGGGAAGCUAGCAAGAACCCUGGUCCUGCCAGGCAUCUGACAGUGCCUGGAUGCUGACUGACAAGGACAGGACAUGGAGAGAUGGAGCUUGAGGCAGGGUUGGGUUUUUCCAAGUAUAGGAUACAGUCACAUGAUAUGGAGGGAAGAGAUGGAAGAGUCAGGACCAUACUGAAAACUAAAAUUUGGGCCAUAUGUAUAGAAGGGAGAGGGGAAGUAGGGAUGGUAUGGAAGAGAAAUCACACCGUAACUAUGAAAGCCAGCCCCUGGAAGGUGUGGAUGUAACCCACAGGAUGCUGGGGGUGUCUUGGAGAAGCAAAAACAAACCAACAAAUCAAACUAGGGUUACAGGUCUGGGUUCAAGUCCUGACAAGUGGGAACUGGCCACUCAUUUGUGACUAAGUCACUGAACUCUCAACUCCCUGUUUCCCAUCCUUGGAACCGGGGUCAUAGUAUCGUCCAUGAGAUUCCAUGGAGCAAGUCAAGAAUUGAGUUUGUAAUACUGGGAUUCACCAUAUUGCAGCCAUGGGAUCUGACUAGGCAUGGCUUUCUUGACUUGCCUCUGGCCUAGCUCUGCUUUGGAAACAGAUUUUUUUUUUGGACAAGAAAAUGUCAUGGUAACAUCUGGUUCUUUUCCUGAUGUUUUAUAAGGCAAAUAGUCCUUUCCAAGUGAACAACUCGGGUUUCAAUGGUAAACUGAGGCACAGAGAACCUUCUAGGCUUGACUGGGUCUUAGAUUACAUCAUAUGUGAGUGCUCCAUCUGCAAACUUGGGGGUCUGUGGCUGAAUAUACACGAGGAGCAUGUGGGCCCCGCUGGGGACAAGAUCUUGACCCAGCAAAGGAAGUCCAGGGAGGAGAGUGGCUGGAAUGCCAAUCCUCAUUGUCCAUAAGCAACCCAAGAUCUCCUGAUAUUGGCCAUCCAGGAUCUUUGGUCUCCACCAUGGUAAUUGACUCUGGCACCCAUCACUGCCUUAGCCUGCCCCUCGUUGAGACUCAGGCUGGUGAGCUGCUUGCACCCCACUGUAGAGGACCAUUUGGAGGGUUUGAAGAGGUGUUGGUAUGUGUCGUGGGUCUUUGUCUCUUCUGUCUUGGGAUCCUCUUUCUCUCCUUAAUGGCUGAGUGCUUGAAGCAAGCCUGAGUCAGUCUCCACCAUUCCAGAACUUCUUUGCUGGGCCUGACUUAGCAUCCUUCUUCUAAGGGACCCUUUAAUUUGGAGUCUUGUCCACCCCAUCCCCGUCCGUCCCUCCCUCCAUCCCUCUUUCCCUCCCCCCACUCUUUCUUGUACUUGCUUGUGUACAUACUGUGUCCCACCAUCCUUCCCAUAGCUCUCUAGCUCCUUCUCCCAAUCUCUUGUCUAAUCUCACCCCACUGUGAUCCCCAGCACUCCGCCUGCAGGAUGGGAGCUGGGAGGCGGUGACUAAUGUGCUCGGAGGUGAGUCAUCUGCUAAAUAUAAAACCCACUCACAUCCCUGGAUGCAAAAAUCCUGAGACUCCGCAUCCUUCUCCAUCCUCCCUCCCUCCUGAGGGCGGGGCAGGAGGAGUUUUACUCUGCACAGAAAACAAGUAAACACCACCACCACCACCACCACCACCACCACCACGAAGCUGCAGUGGUACCAGCAUCUUCCCUGUGUCCUUCAGCUCUGUCCUGUCAGGGCAGCCGAUGUCCCUGGUCUAUGUAGGUACUCUGGGGAGGAGGAGUAAGAGAGAGCCUUGACUCCUGAACCACUGAGCAGUUAAAGAGGCAGGCAUUUCUUUACGAUCCCCCUCUUCUCAGCUUCUGCCCUUUUGUGUCAAGAAGCUCAAACUGUCCCUUGUCCUCAAAGGUACUCAGCCUCCAAACACAGGCAUGCGUGGCAGACUAGGGCACACGCCCACAUGCAGGAUUGAAAUGCAGGGUUUGCAUAUAGGGGGCCAGGACAAGUAACACCUACUUCUUACAUACAGUUGGAUUCUUUCUAGGGCUCAUAGCUAGUGUCUUCAGCUUCAGGUUCUUCUGUAUGGACAGACAUCACACACACACACACACACACACACACACACACCUCCAUAUAUGUAUGGUAUCUUUGACUUUAUCAUGAACACAUAUAUGCAACAUCCUCUAUGUAUUUAGUAUUUGAUAUUGCCUUUGUGUCCGGUGGUCUUUUCACCAUUUUGCUGGAAUGUUCUUAUACUCCUUUGCGAUGCAGCCCCUCAGUGUUCUCGCUUUACAGAUGUGGAGCCCAAAGUUAUGCAGUUAUGCAAGAGCUAAGACAGCUGUCCCAAAGGGCAAUGCCAGGACUGACUGAACCUAUGUGCCUCGCCUACAGGCUAAGCUAGUGCUUUUCAGACUUCUGUGAAACCAACAGAUGCUAACAAAGAUAUCUGUGUCUCAGCGUGUGUGUCCACAUGUGCUUACAUAUAAAACACAGCUUGAAGGAGUAGCACUAACCCUGACCACCUUCAAAUUUCAUCUCUCCUAUGAAUCCCAUGCUAUGCGAAUCUACCCUACUCUUCCAAAGCUAAUCUCUUUCUGAUUUCGCUUUAACAGUGCCAGUGCCCUUCAAGUUUGUUCUGUGCCCCUCUGAGCCCAUGAAAACCAUUGUGACAUCAGAGCGUGAUCACGGCUUCAGUGGAUGGUGUGAGUGCCGAGUCCUGCUCCUAAGAGAACAGAUUUCCUCUGUGGCUUUAGACAAGUGUCUUGACUUCUCUGGGCUUUGUCUUCAUAGAACCUGUUUGCCAUGGGGUCUUACAGGAUAGCUGGAGGCCCAGAUCCUCCCAGACUUAGAUAAGGUGGCCUCCUCAAGUGUGAUUUGGCACUCACACGGUGUGCAUGGGAUGCAGGGAAAACCCAACAGAUGGCCUGGCAGUGUCCACUCUGGCUCCAGGGUGCACUUCUCCCUGCAGCCCAGGGCAUGAGGAUGACCCCGUUUCCAGCCUGGGGGGCAUUUGAUCUGAUUGAAGCUCACAUUUUCUCACGUAAAACAUCCCUUUCAUUCCUUUCCUCGUCCUAUUUUUCUGCUUCUCAUACUUAAUCCCUUUUGGAUUUGGGAAAGACCAAGACAAGACCCCUUUGAUUGAGCUUAAGAGUUUAUAUGCGCAGAGAGACGCAGAGAUGGAGUCAUGGAUCAGAAUCAUCUCUCCAAAUGGACAGCACCUGUGUUCCGAUCUCUGCUGGGUCACUGAGAGGCUGUGUGAGUGGAGAGCCGACAUCUGCCCUGCCUGGGCAUGGUCAGACAGGCGGCACCUGGACGGGUCUCAUCCUGAAUACACCUUCUAGGAAAUGAGAGGAUACAACUGAGACAGGAAGGAGAGGACUAGCGUCAGGGAGAACCUCCCAACGAAGGGCCUAAGAGUUCGGGAGGGUAGGAAAUACUGUGUUUUUAAUAAUUCAGGGAGCCUGCCAGUCUUCAAAACCUGGCCACGCUUACUUGGUCAUUGCCUCCCAACCUUCUGCAGUGGCUUGUCUGGGAGGGGGUUGGUUGUGGGAGAUCUGCCAACAACAACAACAAAGAACUGUCAUAGCAGGACACCCAGGGGCAUUGCCUGGUGUUACCAAUGAGAUUCAGAGGAGGUUUGGCUUGCUUGGAUCUCACAGAGAAUCAGAGCCUCGGAACUAUCAUGCUUGCUAUGUCCACGAUCCUAAAGGUCAGGCCAGCUCUGACCCUAGGGACAGUCUGGGAGUGUAUCCCAGCCCUCUACCUCUCUGACAUGGAAUGAGCCAGUGGAAGGAUGGUUCCUCUCUCCCAACCUCCCAUCAUCCCAGGUCAGCCCUGGCCAGGUAAAUGGCCAGGGCUCCUGUACGUAGUAGUCAGCUUCUUGUGUCUGUAACGAAACAGCCGAGGAAGGCUAACUUUAUAAAGAAGAGAAGUUUAUUUGACUCCCAGUUUUAGAGCUUUCAAAAUCUGAAAAGCAUGACACAGGCUCUGGUGAAGAGCGCAUGGCAGAUGGCGGGAGUAUGAGGGGGAGGAAGGAUCGCACCUCAGACAGAGUGCGAUGGAGCUGGGCUUUUAUAACAACCUUCCCACAACAACUAACCAGAGACCCACGAGAAACUUCUCAGUGCUUCUAAGGAAGGCACAUCAGCAUGGACCUGGAGGUCCUCUGCUAGAAACAGCCCCAUUUUUGCAUGUGUGCAUUAUGUGGCCUGUGUGCCUACAUGUUUGCACGUAUGCGAGUGAACACAUGGAUAAUAUGCAUGCAUGUGCAGGCCAGAGGGGAUGCUGGGUAUAUCUUCCUUGAUGGACCCCUAUCUUAUGUAUUAAGGCAAGGUUUCUCACUUGAACCCAAAGCUUGCCCAUACACAUAGUCUAGAUAGCCGGUCCUCUUCAGGGACGCCCCCCAUCUGCCUCCAGAGUGCUGGGAUUAUUUACCCAGUGUCUCUGUGGGUGCUUAGGGUUUGGACUGUGAUGCUCAUGCUUGCUCAAAAGCACUUGUCCUAUAGAGCUGUCUCUCUAGCCCCUAGAUUCCUACCUCUCGGUGAUGGUUUGUAUGUGUUUGGCCCAGGGAGUGGCACUAUUUGGAGGUGUGGCCUUGUUGGAAUAGGUGUAUCAUUGUAGGCAUGGGCUUUAAUACCCUAGUCCUAGCUGCCCGGAAGCCAGUCUCCUCAUAUGAAGCCAGCCUUCAGAUGAAGAUGUAGAACUCUCAGCUCUGCUUGCACCAUGCCUGCCUGGAUGCUGCCGUGUUCUUGUCUUGAUGAUUAUGGGCUGAACCUGUAAGCCAGCCACAGUUCAGUGCUGUUCUUAUAAGAGUUGCCUUGGUCAUGGUGUCUAUUUACAACAGUAAACCUCUAAGACACUGUUAAAGGUGCCCCAGUCCUUCUCAACCCUGCCACCCUGCAGACCAAAGUCCCACCACACAAUUCCCUGGACAUCAAGUAACAGGUCUCCGCGCCUGUUUCUCUAAAGCACAGCUUCCCUUAGAGGGAGGCUUUGCAGAUCAGCAUCCCCUGGUCUCUGGUAGGGAUGACGACAGAACUGUCAGGCUGGCGACCUUUGCCCUCCACUCUUAUCUGGAAGAAAGGAAGUCCUGAGGGUGUCUUGGUAUGCCGAGGCAUGUAGGAUGAGAUUUUUUUUUUCCUUGUGCCUAGGUGCCUCCCCCUCCCCCUCGCACCCCAUCAGAAAUCACUUGGAACCUAAUUUUGUAACUGAAUUCACACUCUGAGAAAGCCUUUGAGGAGUCAUCUUGCUUCCUCUACUCUGAGAAAACCCAGCCCCAGCUGAUGACCAGACCCUCUGAAGACACAGAACACCGUGCUAUCCGAGAGCCACAGUGGACUCUGGGGACCUCCUUUUUUCCUCUAUCCCUGAGGCAGAGGCUAUUGCCAUCUUUGUCAGGGACAGGGGAGGGAUGUCCCUGAGUUCUCCUUGCAGAAAGGAAAGGAGUGCCAUGGACCGUCACACUGCAGCAAGCAAGGCCUGCAUUUCUAGAGGCUUCAGAGAGCUCAUUUUGAGAAAGGAGCAGGCAUGCCUCUGUUUUCAUCACCCAGAUGACAAGGAUUGGACACCUUUGAUGUCCACUCCACCCCACCCCACACUCUUUCAAAAUGCAUUUGCUCACAAUGUCAGGCCAGUGUUUCAGGAGAGAGGUGGGCACCUCAGUGCUCCUGCCCAUCUGACCCAUGGUAAUGGCACACAGACAUACUGCCUGCUCUCCCACCCUGUCCCUUCCUUUCUGUUCUGCAGAACCUAUGUAUGGACUUCUCAUUAUUUCAAGCAAGAGAACCUUGUGGAAACUUCCAGUGCCACAGAGGCGGGAGCAUGAGCUUGCAAAGCCUUCUCUGCAGUCGCUGCCGCAGGGACAGCUCUGUUGGCCCAAGCUCAGGUCAGAACAGGCACCAGGGAUGGAGAAGCUAGGUUCCCUGAGGGAGAAAGGCCAGUCAGUGCAGAGGAAAUGGCUCUGUGGCAGGAUAGAGUGGCCUUGCUCAGUGGGAGCCCCUAACCAUAUGACUAGGUACCUAUUACCACUCUAUCAUCUGGGAACAAAAGCUGCUCCUGACUCUAGAGGCAGCGACCAAGAAGUGAGGGCUCUCUGGGUCUGUGACAAAUUAUGUCAUUGUCCUUGACCUAACAGUGAAGUCACCUACCUCUCAGCCACUAAGUGGCAGAAACGUGCCUGACUAGGCCCUCCAUUCUCAGGACAUCUGACCUCUCUGCCACUUUGACCUUCACGAGAGCCCAGCUGCCUGCACUCACCCAGGCUAUCUGCCGAGGUCCCUGUCCUUGGCCUCUGCUGAGCCCUGCCCCCUUCCACAUCUGAAUGAGCUAGGGUCUGAGGGAUACCGCGCUGGAAGAGAGACCAGCCUGAAGCUUUUCCCUUUAGGUCUGAGUUAGUCCUCCCAAACCCUUGAAAGGGAGCAGCUGAGGGCAUAUUUUACUUCAGGCACACAGUCUAGUUUUCUUUAUACCCACCCUUGUCAUUUCUGGACAGUGGAGCAGCCAGAAUUGAAUCUCUAGGAGCUGGGAGAAAGGGUAUAGAGGUGACUUCCAAAGAGCAAUAGAGACUAGAACUCCCCGAGUGUGGCAGAUUGCAGAGAGCUGGGUGACAGCAUCGCCCUCCCCCUCUACCUCCACCUCCAGAGAUGAGGUAAGGGGCCUUCCCAGAUGCUAGCUCCUUCCAUCCCAUCUGAGGGAAUGAAGGGCCUGAAUGUGCUCAGGUCCCUGGUCAGAUUAGAGAUUGACUUCGAGCAUUAAAAGAGGUAAGACGUUUGGCAGUCAGUGGUGUUUGUAUGUUUCAACCUCCCCCGGUGUUCAACUGCCACCUCUAAGUCUCAGACUUCAUGCCUUCCCAAAUCCCUAGUCUCACGGUGGGCAGAAGCCAGACGGCCUGCCUGGGUUGCAAUCCCAGCCCAGUCACAUUCCAGUGGAGUGCCUAUCAGCUGGUUAACUAGCCAUUCUUAUUCUCAGUCCCUUGACCUAUAAAUGCAGCAUCACUGUGUUCAUCGCCUGCCUUGAGAUGCCUGAGGGACCAGCUGAAGUGAGACAAGGACACAGGCACCCAGGACAGUUCACUGGCCCAGCCAGACAACACAUGCUACUAAUCCACGCCUCAGCAGCUUCCUGGUUGGUUAUCCUGCCUCCUUCUGUAGGAAGCAGCAACGUGUAGGAGCUGACUCAACACUACCUCUCCAUUUUGGUGACAUUGCUUGGAAUCAAAACAUGGAGAGGGCUUCAGUGCUUUGGUUAGGGGAUCCCGCUGCCUCAACAACAGAAUAUGUAAGGCUCACUUCAGCGCCCAACACACUUAGGGUUAGGACCCAAGAUGUCCAUUUCAUAACCCCACCCCACCCCUGCCCCAUUUAGUACCUAUGUAGCAGUCCCUGAGCUGGACGGAUAUUGGCAGAGCAAUUUAACAUUUCCCUCAGCCUGAUGCCCAAGGUGCCUUUGCAGCUAGGGCGACAGAGCGGCUGGUGUUGCCUUGAAAAUAUGGGACACAUCUGCCCCCUCGUGGCAGGGUCAGGAACGACGACAGCUACUUCCUGCUAGGCUUGGCAGCCUGGUGGCCAGACUUGAAGACUGACUUUGGGUCACCAAGGGUUGCAGAUCCAAGCUGAGCCACAAGGUGGGGGCACACUCCAGGCCUUAGUCUUGAAUUUCACCCACUUAAUUAUUUGCUUAUUUUCUUUUCACUCAGCAAAUAUGGAGUGCCUACAUGUGAGAGUAUGGCUCCAAGCAGCAGGGAUGUAGCUGUGGCUAAGAGAGCCACUUGACACCCACCUCUUCACUAAGAUGUGAAAUCUGGUGAUUGCACACACAGAAGCACCUCCCAAAGAGCCGAGAACCAGGCAAGAGACCACAGGGUGAUGUAGCUGCUCCUGUCUUGGGUUCUAGGAGUUAAAGAGGUAGCUGUACUCUCAUUAGGCACCAAACACACAUAAACUCAAAACGUCAGGCAUUCUCCCCACACAUUUGUUAGACCACCUAUGAUCAAGAGCAAAAAGGCUAGCAAGCAUGGCUGAGGAUCUGAGAAGGCAGAGGCCAGACACUGUUGGUGGGAACAUGGAUAUGCUUGUGGAUAUGCAGUGUUUUGUUUUUAAAAACAAGUUAAAAACAGAUCUACAUUAUCCCAGUCCAGGGUCAUGCCUGUGUCCAAAGGAAAUGAAGUUAGCAUGUUGAAGAACCACUUGCCCAAGGUGUUCCUUUUAACUCUGUGCAGUGUAGCAAGACCUAGAAUCAUUAUAGUGUCUAUUGAAAAGGGUAAAGUGUGUGUGUGUGUGUGUGUGUGUGUGUGUGAGAGAGAGAGAGAGAGAGAGAGAGAGGUGGAGAGAGAGAGAGAAAGAGAGAGAGAGAAAGAGAGAGAGAGAGAGAGUCCAUUUACAUUGGAUACCUAAAGUUUUCCUCCCAUGUACAGAAUGUGGAGCAGGCUGGAGGUGGGACUGGCAACAAUAUUUUAGUGAGUUCUGAGUGUGAAACAGGAUGGAGAGGCCUGGUGGAGAGAGCAGAGAUCAUGGCUAUAACGUGACUGUGAACUUUGAUGUCCUAAGAUAUUCUUAGCAUUAUGACACAUAAGCUAAGAGACAGAGAUGUGAAUUAGCUGGAUGUAGUUAUCGUCUCAAAUACACAGAGACAUCAAAGAGUCACCUUGGACACAUGAAAAAUAGACAUCAAGAAAUCUGGAACACUAAAAAUGUCCUCUUGUUUUCCCAUAAAUGUACACAAACUAGCCUAAGUACACUGGAGUUAUCAUUCCAUCCAGUGUGGUAUUUGUUGUGUGCUCAAGCAGGGCUCCCCAACUUUUUUCUUUCCUUAGAGAUACAGGGAGCUUCAACCAUCAUUAGCCAGGGUCUGAUUCCUGGCUCCAUACAUAUUCCGUUUUGAUGUGGUGCCAAUAAUUAAACACCAGUGUAGGAAGCGAUGGGGAAGACAGCGUGUUAGACAGUUGGAGCCCGCUUCCUCUACUUAGAACUCUUGUGACCUUGGUCAUGACAUUGAAAAUCCCAGUUCAGCCUGUUUCCCUAAGGCCAUGGUCCUGGAGCUCACGAGUCACAAGUGAACUGGAGCAUGCGGCCCCUUGGGCUUUUUGUCGCCAUGUGGGACUCUACCCCAGCCAAACUUGGUCUGGCUUCUUCAAAAGGUGGCUUAAAGAUACAUCUCCUUUCAUCAAAAGAAGGAAAUAAACUCUUAAUAAUGAGCCCGACACAUCUCACUCAGAUCCAGCUGUGUACCAGUGUCUUGAUCAUCUGUAGUUAUAUCACAGCCUGCAUUUGCAUGGCUUAGGAAGACAAUAGCAUGAUGUUUCCCUUGUGUUCUGAGGCUGUAUGGGGCUGUAUGCAGGCAGGUGUUCUGUUUAAUCUGAUUGUUACUGGGGCUGGAAUGUCCAUGGUGGCAUCUUCGCACACAUGUCUGAUCCUCUGCUGGGUGGUGGAACGAGCCAGAGGCUGGCCAGGCAUUUCUCUCUUGUGGUGAAUCCACUUAGGUCACUGGACCUUUCGUUUGGUGGCUCAAGGCUGCCAGAGAUACAUGAGGUCUGCAGUGGGCUGCACUCCAAUAUGUGUGUCCUUAUGACAUUCCAAUUAUGUCACGUUGGCUAAGGAAGGUCACAUGACCUAACCCAAAGAGGGGUCUUUGUGGCAAGAAGCCUCAGAAAAGCAGGAAUCGUGGGAAGUGUGCCACUGAUUGCUGCCAGUAGGUGUCACCACGUUAACAUGUGACAAUAGCCAAUUACAGGACUGAUGUAAGGAGCCCCUCAUAAAAUGGUGUGGCUAUAUUCCCAACAGAUUUAAGAGUCAGGAUCUAUUUUGUUAGGGCUGUCCUACCCAGAUAUAAUUUUCAUUUAGGAAAUUCUAAUGCUUUUCCCCCUAGUUUCAUUUGUGUUGCUGUGAUGAUAAAAACCCUAACAAAAAGAAACUUUUGGGGAAGAGGGGUUUUGUUUUGUAUUUGUUUUGUUUUGUUUUGUUUUAAGCUCAUAAUUCCAGGUUAUAGUCCACCAUUGCUGGUAGGUCACAGUGGCUACAGCCUGAAACAACUAGCCAUACCGCAUUCACACAUGAGAGAAGAGAGAAGUGUAUAGCUGCAUAUUUGUCCAGCCUUUGGUGACUCCCACCUUACACCAUACUUUGAAUCAAAGAAGGAUUUUAUUUUCAUUCCACGAGAUUUGUCCUCUCACAGAGUGUAAUUCAGUGGCUGUUAGUGGAGCCACCGAGUAAUGCGGCCAUCAUUACUAAUUCUAGACUGUUCCCAUUAGUUCCCCCAAAGAAACCUCAUCCCAUCUGCAGAUGCCCCCAUUUCCCUCUCUCUUCUCUUUCCUGUCUUAAGGUGACCACUGGUCAACUUUAUGUCCCUCUGUUGAGAGUUAUAAGCAGGCCUGCCAUUUCUGGACACUUCCUCUAGUGGGGAUCUUGUGAUGCCUGGUCUUCUAUGGCUGGCUUCCUUCAUGUAGCAUAAUAUUCAGGGUUCAUCUGCAUGGUAGCACAUACCUUCAUUCCUUUGCAUGACUGAGUAGUGUUCCAUAGCACACAUACAGAACACUGUAUUUAUCCCAGCCUCUGUGCACACACUCAGGGAGAAUUUUGGCACCGGUCAGAGCUGUGCUUGGAAGCUAUAGACAAUGGAUAUGAUCAAGUCAGGAUGAUUUCUCAAUCAAGAGACUAAUGAGACAAAAUUAGAUUUUUAGUAAGUUGCUAUGGCAAGCCUGUGACAAUCAGGCCUGCAGGGAGACAGAGACAGGAACAAAAGAGGUCAGGCUACAGUAAUUAGGACAGAAAGAGUAGAGAGACCUCUGUGCCAGGUGCAGCCUCCAUCUCCCUAUGGCUCCUCCCAGCUCCCCUUUCUCUUUGAUUUCUCUGCCCUUUCUCCCUGUCUCCCUCUGACCUUUUGUCCCUCUCUGUUCCAUGCCUCUCUUGGUUCUCUUCUAUCUCUCUCACUUGUGUCCCCUUUCCUCUCUUCCAGUCUCUCUCUUUCACUCUUUCCUGCCCCUCUUCCUCCUUUUCUUUCUCCCCAGUCACUGGCCCCCCCCCUACUCCCCUGAUACUCCCAAAUUGAAUUUUCCUUUCUUUCUACCCUCCUUUCUGCUUCUCUCUCAUUUCCUCCCCCUCCCUGCCUAUUUCCUUCUCUCCCUUUCUCUCUCCUGUGGCCCUCUCUCUUUCCCCCUUCCUUUCAUAAAGCCUGGAAGCAGCUCAUCUCAGGCAGGAGGCCAGAGUGCUUUCAGCCCUGUCUCCUGUUUCCUUCUGCAUUGCUGUUGAGGAUCAGCCGGUCACGCUCCUUCCUGGAAUGUGUGUGAUGAUAAUUGCCUCUUGCACAAUUAUCUGCCAAGCUCUGUCGGUAAUGAAAUGAAUGAUUUAGUUAUCCUUGUUAGGAAUAGCCCACAAUGCUCAGAAACUCGUUAUUGCAGCCACGAAGCUGGCAGGAAUGCCCUCGGAGGCACCUGCGAGCGGCUUUUACAAUUAGCUCUCUCUUCUCUGCCAGAGACCACAGCCCCAUCCAGCCCCCACCAAGUGCUGGAAACAUCUAAAGGGAAACCAAUAAACAAGCCCUGGGUUAAGGCUCAGCGGCAGAGCUUGCUGGACAAGCUCAAGGCCUUGGGCUUGAUGUCUAGCUCUGCGAGAAAUGUGAGGCUAGGCUGGGCUUCCUGUCUGCCACUUUGACCCACACAUCGCAAAGCUGCAUGGGAAGGAUUAGUCAAAGCUCCGUGGUGAUAUGCACAGGGCAGAGGCCAAUGAGUUCUGGGGAAAGCUUGCUUGGCCAGAUAGAGAAUGUACACAUUCUAUACCAUGUUUCCAUCUCUCACUGCCUCUCUGAGCGCUUUCCUUUUCCAAGCUUCAUAGUCAUGGUCCAGCCUUGAUUCCUGCCUCAGACUUUCUCUACUUACUGCCUGUAUCUACAGAUGUUCAGACUAAGUCGAAUAAAGAAGAGCAGAUAGAGGUGGGUAUGUGCAUGACUGAAGAACGUUGAACCCAGGGACACACAGAAGUAUUAGAGGGAAGUUGUAUUUCUUCUGGGAGAUUCUAUACAGAAGUAGGGAAAGAGUGGCCUGGAGCUAAUUAAAAACACUGUUUCAGUUAGAGAGUAGAAACAUUCUUACAGUUAGAGAGUAUAAAUACUGUUUCAGUUAGAAGUAGAAACACUGUUUCAGUUAGAAAGUAAAGAGCCCCCCCCCCCCCCCCAUCAAGUUCCCCUCUGAGGCAGAACCAUUGCUCAUUGACCAUUCCCUGGGCAGCACACAUCAAAAACCUGUAGGGUGGGGUGGCUGCCUGAAUCCACUGCUAAGGAUCAGCCUCAGCUUGGAGAGGGGUUCUGAGAAAGGGGUGUUUGAGAGCAGUGAAAGAAACAACUCAAUCAUGGGGUAUAAGCUGGAGACAGCUUUGUCUAAGAGAUCUUCAGACAGCUCAUCCAGAGAGCUCAGCUCUCACAGACCAAGGCCCCGUCUUUUAUUUAUGUAUCAAUCCAGUCAUUUACUCCAGGUUCCCUUUUUGAUUAUCCUAUGAAUCAGCAUCAUGACCCCAGGCCCCUGAUUCUUAAGAAAAAGACAGCAAGCACAUUUGUUUUUAUUUUCUUUUUGUCCUUAACAUUGCAAAUGAAUUCAGAGAUCUGCCUAUUUUUUGUAAGCACAAACAGUAACCUUAACUGGGUGGGAUCUUGCCCUGUGACCACCAUUCGCUAAAUUUUUUUAUCUCCUUCCUAAAUCUUUCUGACAAGCUGGCUCAUAGUGCCAUAGUGCAGCUGCCUAUGUUUAUUAGGUCCAUGAAAUCCCUCAUAUAAUUCAUAUUGAAUCCUUAUAUUUUGCAUGGUUGAGAAAUUAUAUCAUAUAUAUAAUACUAUAUAUAUAUAUGAAUAUAAUUUAUUUAAUUUUAUUUCAUGUGCAUUGGUGUCAGAUCCCCUGGAACUGUUACAGACAGUUGUGAGUUGCCAUGUGGGUACUGAAGAUUGAACCCAUGUCCUCUUGAGGAGCAGACAGUGCCCUUAACCACUGAGUCAUUUCUCCAGUCUCCACUCACAUUAUCAGAGUUCUUUCCCAUAGCCUUAAGGGCUGUCCUGAAGGUCUCGGUGUUUACCAUAUUGCUGAGACAUUAGACACACCCUUGCUUCCCGGAUUCAUGCUGCCUCUGAUUAUCAUAGAGUCCUUGGCAGAGAGGACAUUCUCCCAAAGGAGGAAUUUAAAGUAAAAUAUACAAACAAGCCUUGUGCCUAGCAAUCAUCAACACGUGUAGAGGCCCACACCCUGCUGGCACUGUUCCAGGGGCAGGAAAUCAUGUCAUACCAUCCUUUCCACAUGGCCAUGCAAGACUCAGCACUCUACCCCUCCCAUGGUCCCAGUCUGGAUAACUCAUGCUCGUACACACCUGUACUUACUUCUACAGCCUCCAGCAAGUCAUUCUAUAAAAAAUUUGAAGCAACUUAAAAAGAUAAUGAUGAAACAAAUGGAUUGACUAGAUUCUAUGAGAGGGACAAAAUGUGCAGAUCUCAAUGGGGUUAAGAAGACAGGGUUGGACCCUGACCAUCUAUGCUGUGACCAGAGAGGCUGUCCUCAGGAGCUGAAAGGCACAGCCUUGGCCAACUCUGAGACUGAGAAAGGUGCACUGAGAAUCAAUGGGAGCAGAUGGUGUGGGCGGUGCCAUCUCUGAGAAGGAACUUCCUUAGGUAACACAAGCAUGGUGGCCAAUAAAGGGUGAGGACAAAUCAUAAAUUGGCAGAAAUGUCUGAGGAGGAGGAAGGGGAAGAAGGGAAAGGGGGAUGGAGAGGGAGGGAAAGUUUUUGUUGCUAGUUGCACUGGAAUAUUGUUAGACCCAGUAGGAAAAGGACUAUUUUGAAUGUGAUUGAUAAAUAGAUAGAUGUGAUGCCCUCUUUGUGGGCAUCAAGGCUGAUUAUUAUCCACCCUCAGGACAGCCCCCAACCCAGGGAGCACAGUGCAUCUGACUUGUGUGGCUCUGACCUGCAGAUGGCCUGGACCUCAAUCUCAGCCCUGCCACUUACAAGCUGUAUGAUGUUGAGCAAGUUGCUUAACCUUUCUGUGCUGCACUUCCCUCAUACAAUUUCUAGUUCUCCACCUCAGGGCUGGCCUGACUCCCUCAGCUGUGAGUCAGGUAAUCCAGAAUCUCCCUACAGGCUGCAAUGUUGUUCAGAGUGGCUAAGCAAGGUUGGGGGUAAAGCAUCCUUGUCUCGACUGUCUAGGGUAGACAGAGCUCUCAGUGGUGUCUGGUCAAGCCUCCCUCUCAGUCUGGGAUGCCAGUAGACACACCCCUCCACAAUGUGGAUGAUCUAUAAGCCUCUGGGAGCACUUAGUGGGGGCAGUCAAAGAGCACCUUCUUCCAGCAGACAUUCUCUUAAUACAAUCGAUUUUACUUUGGAGCAAAGGGGCAUCUCAGGGUUUCAGGUCCCACAUGGAGGUUUCUCAAGACUCACAUGACAAUUGUAGGGGUUGGUAGUAUAAAGACACAAGGUGGGAGCUGGCAACAGAGGGUGCCCAGUCCUCAGCUGGAAGACUUUUGCCUUUCAAUAACUUCAUCUCCAGGAUUUAGUCUCAAGAUGUUUACAUGUGGAUGUUCAAUGUAUCUAGUGGACAUAUAUACCCCAGGGCAUUUGCAGCCUGCUCUAUGAUCAGGCUUUAGGAGGUAUUGACAAUGUUUGUCACGGGUUGGAUGGGGGAAAGAACAGCAGGGAGUCUUUGUGUUGGAUGAGGAAGGGACUUAGGUUAACCUGGAUCAAGAUGUAAGGGUGAAAGCAAGAGCCUCUUAGACACAUAGAAAUGGGAAGUGAGCACCAGGAAAUGAGAGGAUCAGACUGAUGCAGAACAGUGCACAGGUCUUGGCUAUGGAGGUUCUAGAAGAGCAAGGGCCAGCUAGAAACAUUAUUUGAAUGAUCUAAAAAUGAUUCUUUUGGGUAAAGAGUGGCACAUGUUAAGACAGGGAGGGUUGCAAGGACUUGUCUUCUGAUUGGAGGCCAGCUAAGGCUCUUUCUUGACAAUGUCACGGACAGGACGGAGCAAAGGGGUGAGUUCAAAUAUGGUGUGUAUCCAUGUGUGUGCACAGCCCAGUGUGUGCAGGCUGCCAUGGUUCUAGGCAGCCACAGUCUUCUCCAUGUCUUCAGGUCUCUUCAUGCCUUGGUGCCAGGUGCGGAAGCUGGAGAGUUUCCUAUCUGCUGAGUCUUUACAGCGCCACAGAGCACAGUCUGUCAGAAGGAGAAACCGAGGCACUAUUUCCUAAGGAGCCUGGUGGGAGGAGAUGUCCUGGGCUUGCUGGGAGCCAGGCACAGGUGUCCAUAGGCUGGAUGACUCAAUCCAGUAGGUUGGUUUCUAAACUGGAAUAUUUUCCCCUUGUCUUGUAAAACAAAGAGGGUGGAUUGAACCCAGGAGAGCUGUUUGGAUGGGCAUCCAUUUUAAUCUCGGCUUUUUAGGUGCAGGGUGAGGUAGGUGCUAGGGAGAUUUGAUCUGUAGUUUUUAGUGACUGCAGCUUCUCUUCAGAUUGUUGGUACAUGGAGAGCUAGAGGGGAGAUGAGGAUUCAACAGGCUGAGAAGGGGAUCCCUAAUCCUUCACCUCUGUGAGAGAGGGGGAGUGGGGGAGAAGAGACUCAAGUCUGGGACAGGGAGGAGCUGCCUAGGCUGGGACAGGGAGGAGUGCCUAGGACAUGGAGAAGGUGCCUAGGCUGGGACCGGGAGGGCCCAGGGUGCUGGCAAGGCCCCAUGCACUCUGUAUCUAGCUAUUGUUUUGAUUGACUGACUAUCUAUCUAUCUCUCUAUCUAUCUAUCUAUCUAUCUAUCUAUCUAUCUAUCUAUCUAUCUAUCUAUCUAUCUAUCCAUCUUUGAUUUUGAGACAAGACCUUUUCAUGUAGCCCAGGUCAGUAUUGAGUUCCUGUUGACAUGGUAAGGGCACUUUUGCUAAGACAGGACAUUGUGAAACAGUCGGUGGUGGGACAACAAGAGAAGACCAUUCACUUCCACGUGGUGCUGUCCUCUCUGCAUUCCUUCUGACCCCUGUCCUUCGUUGCUGUGGGGUCUCUUAUUCUCUUUGACUGUAAGAAAAGCAGGGCAUUCAGAGUGGACACAGAUGGCAUUGGGGAGUGUGUGUGUGUGUGUGUGUGUGUGUGUGUGUGUGUGUGUCUGUGUCUGUGUCUGUGUGUGGUGUGCAUGAGAACACAUGUGGUGUGAGAAGGAUCAAAAGGGCUAGGGCUCACCAGCAGACCAGAGCACAGGAUCAGAGAGUUUCUGGGCAGGGCGGGUAGGGCAAGGUCCUGCCUGAGUCAGCCCAGAGGAUGCUCCAUCAGACUCCUGUCAGCCUGCACAGCUGGAGCAGCAAUCCUGGUGGCACUCACUGAGGAGCCAAGAGCAUCCCCAAGACUGAGUAAGUAAAGCAAUGGAGGACCCCAGGGCUCGGUGGGAGCUGAAGAAGCCAGGGAUACUCAGUCAGACCUGGCCUUACAGUCUGAGACAAGAGAGGAGUGGAAGAGGGGGUGUCUUCAUACCUGUCUUUCCCUGUCCUCCAACCCCUGCUUGAUAUUUCUGUCCCUUGAACCCUGUCAUCUCUAAGCCACUGCUAGAGGCUGGAAAUACCAAACAGAAAUUAAGGUGUGAGCCCAAGGACCCAUGUGGCCAAUAGCAUGCACCACAGGGGUGGGUGUCAGGUGUCCGAAAGCAAGUGGCAGGUGUCUAUGGUCCCAGGGGCCAGCCGGGGAGAUGGAAUGGGGGUCUCAGGUUCAUAGAUCCACAGAGGGAGGCAGGACUUGCAGGCAGCAAGGACUUAGACAAGAUGCAAAUCUUAUUUCUACUUACAGGUGCGCCCUUGGCAUAUGCUGGAGAGCGAUGGAAUCCACAGGUCGGGCUCUCAGAAAACAGAGGUAGGAGAUCAUGGAAACCCUCAUUAGUUCUCAGCCAACCUGACAUUCUGAGGAUGAGAGGCAGGACUGAGUGAGCUUUGGAGCUGGCUAAGGAGCGUCUGGGAUGGGUGGGCCGCUCCCCUGACUGCCAUUGCCCCUCUUUGCUUCUCUAGACUCAAGGAUACUCCUGGCUUCUGGUACUUAUGCCUCUCCCAGAGAACUUAAGAACCUUCCUUGCUCCCAGUCUUCUCAGGUAGCAGUGGGCCCUGUGGUUUAAGUCCCAAAGUGACCCUCAGGAGCUGGCACAAUCACUACUGCCUACAAUCUGGGCCUGGUGUACUUUCUAGGACAUAUAUUCUGGGUCAUGCAGCUCUUCUCCUUUCUGAGGCAUCUAAGGGAUACGUCAAACCAUGGGUGUCUACACCAAGGGUUAGAAGGCCUUGGAGGGGGUCACUGUAACACCCGAGACCCUUUGUCAUCUUUGGCCAUUCCAUCCCUGUGACCAACCUUAGUGAACUCUCUUAACCAGUAGCAGGGGAGUCAGGCAGCCAGACAGCCAAUGUGGAAUUCACCAUGGCCCCAGCACUCCACUGCCACUGCCAUUUCUGCCUGCUGCUCUGAGCCCCUCCCAACCCAGAGCCUGUGGAGCAGGCACCACGGGGCUCUGGUGUGUCUGUUGCUCCAUGAUUUAUUUUUGUCUCCCUCCCAGAUUUCACGGACAGGGCUGUGCAGAGUGGCUGGUACCAUCUGGUACCACGUGGGGGCACUGAUACCUCACAGGAUCGGAAAUGUGCUGGAGAGCGCUUUUCAUUUUACUGUGAGAGCCAGCCACUCCUCCUGCGGCCAUCCCAAUCCUCCGUGAACCCUCCAUCGCCCGUGCCAGGUUCUUCUUCAGAAUCCUCAGCAGCCCUCUUGGUUUCCAUGACCCUGGAGCUUUUCCUUGAGUAAAACAAGUAAACCGGACCCUUUCCAAAGUGAUAUCUGAAGUUCCAGGAGACAAGCUUGGAGAAAGAAGGCCCCUAGAAUGGACGCCCUCUCUCCUCCCUCUCCAGGUCUUCCUUCUGUAAGAACCUAUAUCAGCUCCACUUCCAGUGUAUCUACUGCUACAGCAUCAUGUUCUUUCAUUGGUGGGCUGGUGUCCCACGUGUUCUGGCUGGGAAGGUAAGUGUCGUCCCUCGGAGGUUCAGGGCCUGGUAAAGCAGGGUUUUUCUUUGCUGGACAAAAUGACAGCUUAGGAGAUGAGUGUCUCUGUGCCAGCAUAUCAUGUCUCUGAGAUGACCCUUCCCUGAGGUUAUAAGGCUAGGCCUUUGUUGUUCCUGGGAGCAUCCUGGUUAUCUCUCCCAGAGGCUGGGAAAGUGGCUUUCCAGGAGCUCAGUCAACAGCCCAGAGAGUGAGAAAGAGUUAUUAUGCACUCACAGAGCAUCCUGCUUCCCAAUCCCUCCAUCAGGACCUUAGAUGGCUCAUGCCAGAUCUCAGAUAGAACCUUAGUAGAGUUUCUAUCCACAGCUUUGCAAGGGUAUGCCCAGCUGUAAGGAGGCUGUUACCCACUUCUCUUUGGGUACAUCUUUAGAACUUAUACUGUGGAAUGGCAGCCUGGUUCUGUAUAUAGGGGAAGCAUUAUUCUUCCUUGCUUGGGCAGGUGAGAAAGACCUGUUAGCUCCAGGAGCCUGAACUGACCCCCAGCGAUGUUUUGGGUUAUGCCUGUGUCCUGAUACCUGACCAGGAACAAGCCUUUCUUAUCCCAGGGUCUUCCUUGGUCUCCUUACUUGUCAGUCUCAGUAGCUACCUCUUCUGUUCUUUGCGAUAACCAUAGUGAACAAGCAUGGUAGAGAACUUUUAACAGGUGCCCAGGCCUCAUUCUCAUCAUCUGCAACAUGGAUGCUUCAGCCAGCUCACCCCCAAACACAAACAUGCUGUGACCCCUGGCUGCUGAUCAAACAUAGAAGCCUGAGUACAUUGAGUGUGACCAUCAACAGGCACAUAUUGAUGACAGUAUGAGAUGUCCCUCCCAGGGACUGGGAGUCUCUUGGUUUGCCACCAAUGCUAGCAUGCCAAAACUGGGUGACACACGGGGACAGCUGAUGCAUAGAAGGGUCAGGAGGAUUCUGGAAUCAUGGGCUGGGUCUUGACAUUUUCUCUGAACAUUGGGAAAUCUUUCUUCUGCUUGUAGACAUGGUGUCUAGUCAAGGGACCCAGGGAAGGGUGUUGCCACUUUCUUAGGAUGAUGUCUGAUGCUCCUGCUCUCUGUCCUCCUGUUUCUUUGUUCUAGAUUCAGUUUGUAGCCAACACUACUCAUGCUUUUUGCCAUCUCUUCACCAAGUACCCCUUUCCAAUGGACUCCAAAGCAACCAUCGUUUCUUCAUGUAUUUUGGCCUCAGCAUCCUUUUCUUCGGCUUCCACCAGCAGACAUCCCCAAGGGACCCUGGAAGAUGCCGAGAUAAAAAGUGGAACCAGGGACUGAUACUAACAGAGCUGUCCUCCUGGAGACCCUGGCAGAGGACAGCAUAGCUCUUAGCAGAUUCCUGGAACUGCAGUUGGUUGGAUGAACAAUGUCCUCCCUUCUAGACCUGAGGAGGGAUGAAAUGGAUUAUGUCUUCAUACCCACUUCUCACAUGGAUUUGUAACUAUUUGCUAACCUCCUGCUUCUACUAGACAUAGUCUUAUAAUGGAAGGGACUGUCACCUACCUCAUUUCAACAAAUGUGUCUCUAGGGCUCAGAUUCAGCAACUGGUGGUCAUGACCACUGGUAAAGGACAGGCCUGGGUGUGAAUGAAAUCAAGGAUGGCUGGCAAUCUGACUUGGAGUGGGAAAUUACUUGGUUUCUGAAGUAGUGCUGAACAGUUACCCCUUUCCCAACCCACCCCCUCCCCCCCCAUAGCUCUUGGCUUGCCACCCUCUAUAUGUGUAUCUCUGCAGUUGUAUGGUUCCAUGGUCUGUUAUUGGGGUGAGAGAAAUGGCUAUGUGCACGGAUGAGAACUGUUUUCUGUCAACAUGUGGAUCUCUCUGCUUUGUUCACUUGUCUCUUCUGUAAAUAUUCACAAAUAAAAUGAUCCAAGAUCAAUGGCUCUCCCGUCUCAGUGGAA
rnacentral:lncRNA from 1 species